GGUCUGGGCCGGGACCAGAGGCGAUGCUUUAACACGCUGGAGAUGCUAAAACCGGAGGGUGCUGAGCACCACAGCAGCCCUUGGUCUGCGUGCGGCCACCCACGGCCGAGAGCCGCUGCCGUGCCCUGGCAGAGCGGGGCGUGCUGACUGUGUCCUUUGAGGGCACCUGCGGGACGUGUCAGCUGAGAACUGCUGAAGUGAAACACAGCCCUGCCACCUGAACUUGUCCCCCGCCUUUCCUCUCUUCGUUCCUUUCAGGAUCAGCAGGAGAGUGAGCUGCAGAAAGAAAAGAGCGCGCUUUACAGACACCCGUUUCUCCAUAAAAAAGGGGCAAGAUCAAAGGUGACAAGUCUUUUUUGGGAAAGGAAAACUGUGUCCAUGGAACGCUGUUAGCUGGAGGGAAGAUUUUGAUCAGAAGCUCUCUGGCCAAGAGAGAUACCUGCUGACUGGAGAUGAGGAGCGGAGCUGAGUGUAGGCUCUGAGGCUCUCCCCGGCAUGUGAGAGAAGGAUCCUUCCUCCUCUGCCUCAAAUCACAAGCCUUUGAGGCUGAAUGCAGGAUCUUCCCAGGGCCACAUCUAGAUCGUUUAUCUCUUUGCUUGACCAUGGGAACUGAAAUGUGUGAACGGCCAACUCCUGCUGCAUGAAUGGACAUAGUGUCCAUCGAGGAAUUGUGCAGGUGGAGCAGCUGAAGGUUUGUUUAGUCCAAUAUCCAGUUGCAAACUGUGCCCACCAUCAGCUGAUUAAGAGGGAGCCCCGCAAAAGUUGCAAUUCUGGAAUAACUGUACAACCAGGAUGAAUUCUUCUGCCCCAUUUGUCAGGGGUAGGCUUCCCCCUGAAGCCCUCUCCAAACUGUUGGUUACGUUUUAAUAUGGUAUUUGUUCAUGUCUUUAUGGGAUGAACCAAUCUUAAAUCUAACAAAAGAGAGAAACUGAAAUUUCAAAUAUCACUAUAAUGACAUAUGGAGUUUCUUUUGGCAACCCAGCACGGCCGUUUGAGUCACAGGACAGUCAAAUAUGUUAGAUACAUACUGCUUUUUAUUAAUAUGUCAGCUUCAAGGUUCUAUGAAGUGACAAAAUACCAGAAGUCAUACUGUUCGCAAAAAAGGAAAACCAGAGAGACAGCAUGCAGUUGAUCAGCCCAGCAGACAGAAAACGCCAGUAAGGAAUCAACAUUCCUAUUCCACACAGACUCCAACGGUAUUUCAUUUAUAUGCAGACAAAAACUAGCUCCUGAAGCUGUGCAUAUGAACUAACAAGUUAUAUAUAGUCUCCACAAAAUAAUCAUAAACUAAAUAAUCUGUUUGUUGAAACUGGUCUAAUUUUUUUCUCAUCCCACUGAACUCCUGUCCUGGCAGAUAACUGGAGGGUUUGUUUUCCCAGGUUAACUGUACUGUGCAUUCCUGUUCCUCCAUCUGGAGCAAAGCUCAGAGGUGACUUAUAUGCUUGUUACUUCCUCUGUCGCUCUACCCCUCUAUUACAGCUCCUCCCUAUAACGAACAUCCCCAGGCUUUUAGUUCUCCCACUCAGGAAAUUCUCUGGCUUCUGACCUUUAUCUUCUCCAGACCAUCCAUUUCUCCUCCAAGAAGGGCCAACUGCGUACCUAGGGCAGGCACCUUGUCCUUACACUGAGUGAAUCCAGUACAGUGUCUGGCUGUGCACUCCUUUGUUAAUGGGCCAAAUUACACUGAACUGUCUAGCAUCUUGCAGGUUUUGUCAAAGAGGGGGCUGAUAUCUGAAUGCAUCACUGCCACCUGCCCCGAGCUCUCUCUGCCUGAUGGCCCAUGAUCACAGAAUUAUUCAGGUGGGAACGGACCUCAGGAAGUCUCUAUUCCAUCCUCCGCUGCACUUGCUCCAGUUUUUCAAUGUCUUUCUUGCAUUGGGGGCCUGAAACUAAAUGCAGUGUCCAGAUGCAGUAUAAUAAUGAUGGCGUCAAUGUAACUUUGUUCAAGAUAGUACCACGGAUGUAUUGCCCCAAGCCAUUUUAUUCACGUUCUGCAGCAUAUGGGCAAUUUUUAACACCCACAGAGAAUGAAGGGUAGAUGGCAUUUAGGAUGAUGAAGAAAACAAACUAUUCCAGGGAAGCAUUGUGGGCUUUCAGCCCAACUUUCUGGCCUACCUGAUCACAGCAGGAAGGCACAUGGACUAAAAGGAGCAGCUGUACCACACUAACAUGGGUAUUUCUAUUCGUUGUCAUCCCCUGCAGCCUGCUGGUUGAUUUUUGAUACAGCUCAAAUAUUUGUUUUUGGAGCACACGAGCUGAUAAUAGUUAGAGUGGGCAGAGCUGUGAGUGUGUGCAUACCCACAUGGGAUCACCUGUGUCUGUUAUCUCUUCUCAGAACUGCUUGCUAAAUCGAACUGCGCUGAUGAAGUCCCUCUCUCAAACUCCCUAGCUGUGAUACCUGCAAAUCACUAGGCCUCUGGUGUUGAAGCCACUACAAAUCACAGCAGCCAAAAGCACCUUCUCAUUGCCUUGGGCCACUCUCCCCUAGCCCAGCGGUUCUCUAGUCUUGUACCAAAAGGGUGAGCUCCCAGGCCUGGGAGUCAUCCUUUGCUCCGUGCAAAACCUAGACCAUUGUUUCACAUGUACUGCUCCUAAGUGACGGCAAUGUACAGUAGCACACAAAUAGUAAUAUAUGCUUCUGAGAUCCUUAGCAACUCAUGCUCUGCUGCUGUGCUGGUACCCUGACCUCCUCCUCAGCAAGAGCCAAUUCCCUGUGGGCUGGCAGUGCACAGAACUAUGGUGCUGGCGCAAAGCUCUUCACAGGUGAUACAUGGAGCCUGAAGGGCAAAGGAGGUAAAUUAGUAGUUGUUUAGGUUCGAGAAAAUCCAACUGGAUUACAGGCUACCAGUUAUUCAGAGCUAUUAGGACACAUCCACACAGUACAGAGACCGUGAAUAAGUCUUUUGCCAAUCCAAGCUGAGGCACCUGCAUAGGAUAAUGAUGCUACAUCAAGCACAGAAGAAGCCUAGAAACCACUCUGCUCCACAUGGAUUCUUGCCCUGGGCAUGGUGCCUCGCCAAGACAGCACCAGGGAUUCUGGUGUGGGAACUAGUAUAUUCUUUGCCUGCUCAUAAAUCUGUAGGAGUGCCUACACUGGACACAUGCUCCAGACCUUUCCUCUCUCCUUUCUCCAGCACUAUGGAAGACACUACCAUCUACCCUACCACUCAGCCAUGUAACCUGGGCACAGUCUCUGACUCCAUCAUCUCUCUCUAGAUUCUCCACUGUCAAAGAAUACAGAAUACAAAAUAAGGUAUUUUCCAACAGUUUGUAUCAAUUAUGAUUACUUGAACCUAUUAAAAUAAAGAGAUAUAGUGCCAGAUUAGUCAUUUGUAUCAAAAACAGCUCUAACUAAUGACAAAGACAGGUAGGAGUUCCCCAGAACUGGUCUGAGGAUUCAUUUGCACAAAGUACUCUCCAGGUGACAGAAGGCUCAACUGUGACAGAGGAAUCCCUAUGGGGUCCUGUUCUGAGGUGGCAGCUAUGGCUGAUAUUGAUGGAGCGGCCAUGGGAUCAACAGCUAUGGCAAUACUUCAAGGAGUUCAGGAGCGGGCAGGAUAGCAGCAUCAUGGCAUAUAUUUUCUAAGUCUAUCUUAUUUUUGUUAUUUCUAACUAUGUUUUCUAACAUAGUAAGUAAAAUUCCUGUCUAGUCAGGAAUGUAAUCCUUUGCUUUGCUGGAGUAAAACUAGUUUUCAUUUUAUCUAGUGGUUUAAGGAGAUUCAAAUGAGUCUCUAGACAUAGGGCACAUUGAUUUCCUGGAAACAGCGGUCCAAAUAAGUCCGUGUUGCAGCCCUUUGGGGCACCUCUAACCAAAGACAAGUUUUAAUAUUCCAGAAAAUGGGCAUGGGGAGGGGAAGGGGGGAUCGCUCAUCAAACUGAAGAGAUCGAUGUCGGAGAUGGCCACAUUAAGUGCUAGGAGAUGGGAAGCAUUCCUCCUGGUGAGCCCUGACCAGUAACUGUCUGGCAGUGAGGCAAGCCAGAGAGACAUGUCUUCAGGACAAUGUCACGGCAAUGCAAUGUGGCAAGAAGCCAGAAGAAGCAGAAAACACUCUCCUGCCAGAAGAAAUAUAGUACAAUUGGUCUAACCCAAUCUAGUGUAUUAUUUCCAUAAUGGAACGAUGACUUGUAUUUAGGAAGCCAAAAGACUCUAAAAACUCUUUUACUUUAAGUGAACUGUUGUUAACUCAUAACCAUGGGGUCUUGAAUGUGCUAAAGUACCUCUCAGGUGGAGGCGCUCCAAGGGUCUGUGCCCAGUGGCAUGACUGCACUUGGUAUCCAGAUCACUGAUGAAUUUCAGCUGUUCUGAUCGUCGUGCAGAGCAGAAGUCUUGCAUUCUACAUGCCAGCUGCCCAUUCUCUCCUUUGGUGUCAGCACAGCUGACGGUAGUUGGGUGAUAAUUUAUCACUUCUCACAUGCAACUGAAAAUAAAUUAUUUCUGGUAGCACCUAUUUCCAGCCAGACCAUCUAGCUGACCUCACACGUCGCAGAAGUGCAUGAAAUGAAGCAGCCAGGAAUGUGAUGAGGGCAGAACUAUCCAUUUCUGUGGAAGGGUUGUCACAGUUAAACUAUCUGUGAAAUUCAAUUUUAGUGCUUUCAGAGCUACUGUCCCACAACUGAGGACGAUUAUAAGUGAAUUUCACCAGGAGGAGGAAAAAAAAAACAAACAAAGACUGCAGAAAACCUGACUAAAAUUCAAAGCUACUUAAAAGAAAAAUUCUCAGUUGGCCAAAAAGCCUGAUUCCAUACUUUAAGAUAGAGGACAGCUAGGUAAAAUCCCAUCCAGGGUCCCUGGCAAAGUAGAAGGUAAGUCAGAAUCUCAAGCUGCUCUGCUGCAGCAGAACAAAGGGAGUCUGGUUUCCUACGGAUCUGUACUCUACACCUUCCAACUGCUUUUCCCUGCCUUCUCUGCAUGCCUUCAUGUUCACCCUCAUGCCAUACUGCAACCACCUUUCAACACAUUCCCCACCUCUGGGGUUGAGCAAGUGGCAACACGUGCUGUGGUGGGCUGGGACCCCUUGCUGUGCUCACCAGCAAGCCCACCCAAGCCCGGCGCUCACUGGGCAUCUUGCUGGUGCCUCCCAGCAGAGAGGAAGAGUCUGCAUUGUAGCCACACUUAUUUGAGACUCUCAGGUUUGCCUAGCUGCAAGUUUUCAUGAAAUCUAUAGAAACUCAGUGCCUCUGAGAUGACUAUUGGGUUAAAACUAUGUUUGUUUGUUUUUUUUUAAUAGUUGUUGAACUGAUCUGGUCAGACAGACAAUGCACCUGGAGAACACUUAUUUCCUCAAGGCACUAGGUGAAAAAGUAACAUACAAUAAAUGGAAAGAGGGGGAAAGACAACUGUGUAGGUGCAUGUUUACCUUUCUCUAAUCCAAAUGAGCACCACAACAUUCUCAUUAAAAAAUAGCACCGUGCAGUGUGAAUAAAGCAUAAGUUAAGUGCACUGAAAGCUGAUUCUCUGAUAGAUGUCAAGAAACUGCUGCUGAUGUAGACUUCUUGAAGGGACACAUCUCCAACGGAUCUUGCAGGAAUGAGAAUUAGGUUUAGCCCUACACAGCAGUUUGAACAUGAAUUCGAUGCAAGUAUGAAUUCAUAUUUUCCACAGUAACACGAAGACAGUGGUAUAGGUGUUUAAUGAUAGGGGCAAGCGGUCACACAGGGAGCUGGGUCACUUUGGAAGGCUGACACACUCAGGGAGUGGUACUUCACAUAGCUACAUGUGAUGUAAUACAUUUUGGAGCAAGGCAUCAACAUGCAUCUUAGAGCUUGGUCAGGGCAGUAGGGGGACUCGCCCUGAUGGGAUUUAGGGUCACAGUGAAUAGGCACUUGAGCAUGAGCUCCUGGUAGGAUGCUGUGGAAAGAGACAACUUGUAAGAAUAGAUGCAAGAAUGACACAGGGAAGGAAAGGUAGAGUAUCUCACCUUUCCAUGAAGCAUUGUUGAGAAAUGGGAGGACAUACAGGAAGCAGCCAUAAAAAUGAUUUGAAGACUGAAGAACGUGCCCUCCACACUUAAAGAGUUGAUUCCUUUUAAUUUAUAAUAAUGAAGAAUGAGAGAGAACUUGUCUAUAGAAUAAAAGUGUCAUUAUAGGGAGGAAAUAACAGAUACAAAAUGUUUCCUUUUUUUAAGAAACAAAAGGUGCAUACAGACCAAUAUGAGUUCCUCCGACUGCUCUCAAAGGUGGCUGGCAGUCAAGGAGACAAAAGCCACUGUAAGAAGUGUUGUGCCUGAGCUGCACCAUGUCCUGAUGAUGGGGGCUGUCUACACCAUAUGCAUGCCAGUGAAGGACAUUUACCGACUCCUGCCCUUGGGAAGGAAUAAUCCCUGGGAAGGACACAGGCUAGGACUGCCUGGCUUAUGAGAAGUUCUGCUGGAAAGACCAUGGGGAUUGUGGUGGGCAAUGAGUGGCAUAUGAGCUGCAAUGGGCCCCUGGCUGCAAGGAAGGCCAACAGCAUGCUGGGCAGUACGAACAGGGGUGCAGCCAGGAAGCUGAGGGAAAUGAUAAUCUUCCUGUACACAGCUCUUGUUAGACUAUAUCUAGAUACUGCAUCAAGUUUGGGGACCCCAUACGUGAGAGACAUUGAAAAACAAGCAAGUUCAGUGGAGGGCCACCAAGGUGAUACAGGGCUGGAGUGCUUUCCCUGUGAGGAGAGGCCAAGGGAAUGGUGGUUGUUUAGCCUGGAGGAGGGAAGGCUUUGGGAGGAUGUAAUAGCAGCCUGCCCAUACCUACGAAGGGGUUACAGAGAAGACCAAGGAGCCAGGCUCUUUGCAGAGGUGCACAGCUGGAGAACACGAGACAAUGGUCACAAAUUGAAGCAGGGGAUGUUCUGGACAGGUACGAGGGAAAUUUUGUCACUGUGAGGACAAUUAAGCAGUGGACUAGGGGCCCAGAGGGAUUGUGGGGUCUCCAUCCUUGAAGGUUUUCAGGAUCCAACUGUGUAGAGCAACCUGGUCGGAAUUCAUUGUUGGCCCUGCUUUGAGCAGGAGAUUGGACCAAACACCUCUUGAGGACCCUUUCCACUGAAUGACUGAAAGACACAACAAGACCCAACACUGGAAACCAAGUCCAGAGCAGUCUGAAUGGGAAACAUGGUGCACAGUUCCCUCCAUAGAAGUAAUUAAUCACUGGAACCUGCUCCUCAGAGAGAUGAUGGUUUUGUAAUUUCAAAGUGUUCUGAAGCCCAAGCUGCCCACCCUUCCUGAAAACUAGCCUUAGACAAACACACAUUAUGCCCUCAAUACAGGGACACUGGGUGAAAUCCAAGAGCCUAGAAGACAAAGACUGUCCUGGAGAUCCUAGACCUAGCACCAUAAACUCUGACUCUAUUACAUUAAUAAUUUAGUAAAUCAUGAAAGAAGCAUGCAAAAGUAUAUGCUGCCAUCACAGAAAAUUAGGUCGGAAAGGGAUAUCAACAUGCCAUCCUGACCCAAACCAGGCCCACCAUUCCUAGGCUAUUUCUGAUAUGUUUGUCUAACCUGUGCUAGACUUCCAGCAGUGGGGAAUUUGCCUCUCCUAAGUUGCCCUACCAUGAGAAACUUCUUCCUAACGUCCUUGCUACAGUUCAAGCCUGUGACCUUUUGCCCUGUCACCCAGGUGAUGGAGAACAGGUGUAUUUUCUUGCUACAACAACUAUUUACAUACUUAAAACCAUCAACCCAUCCCCACUCAAAACCAUCAACCCAUCUCCACUUUGUCUUGUCUUCCUUAGGCCAAACGGCCCCAGUUCUCAGGCUUUUUUAACAAAGCAAGUUUUCUAGCUUUUGUUUUUCAAUGGAUGCCUCCAAUCAGCCUACAUUUUUCUCAAGAGUACGCUGCCCCACGCUGCAGCAUUGAACAAAGCAAAGGGAUUACACUAUGAUUUUGGAAGGUUUCAGUUCGGCUUAAACACCCCAGUGUUUUGUCUUUUCUUGCCUUGCCACCUUCCCCAGCACCCCUCCCUCCGCUCCCAUGAGCUUCCUGCCUGCAACUUCAGUGUCGGGAUGCAGUCCCGUCUGUGCAGCGCCAGGCAGAAUAGCGCCUGGUCUCAGCUGGCAUCUCGAUAUGCCACUGCGGUGUCAGUAUCAAAUGAUGGUGGGAUUUCAAACCCACAUCCCAGCAACAAGGCCCAGAAUGUACUGUGCCACAGAGCUGCCUGUAAAAAUGAGAGGAAGUAACGCAGGGCCAAAGAAUCAGAACCAAUAGGGCUGCUCUGAAAGGUCCCAGGUUAAACUGACUGUACUAGUUCCAGCCAAAGGGAGCGUCAAAGUCUCAGAGCAACCAAUGCAGUGAGGAGAAAUGCUCUCACCUGGAUUGCACUUCAGUGCCUGGCCAAAGGGAGAGGCACUCCUGGACCAGAGAGUGAAGACUUUCUACCUAUUACCAGCAUGGAAUCUGUCCCCACCUGGA